rnacentral:rRNA from 1 species
CCUAAGUGAUAUAUGGGUUAGUGGCGGACGGGUGAGUAACGCGUGGUAACCUGCCUUACACAGGGGGAUAACACCUGGAAACAGGUGCUAAUACCGCAUAACAGAAGGGGACGCAUGUUUCUUUCUUGAAAACUCCGGUGGUACGGGAUGGACCCGCGUCUGAUUAGCUGGUUGGCGGGGUAACGGCCCACCAAGGCGACGAUCAGUAGCCGGCCUGAGAGGGCGGACGGCCACAUUGGGACUGAGACACGGCCCAAACUCCUACGGAAGGCAGCAG